rnacentral:rRNA from 1 species
UAGUUCGUGGAGUGAUCUGUCUGCUUAAUUGCGUUUCAAAUUUUUAACCGAGGACCGGGUUUUGGUUUGGCUAGUGGUCCUACGAUGACUGUGAACUGUCAUGUCUUCGGAUGUACGACUAUCGGUCUAGGAUCACAUGACUUGCCCCUGGGACUCUUUUGAACGCAACGGACGUGAUUGCAACCCCUUGUUGAGAUUAGAGAUAGUCUCGAUAUUCACUGGCCAAACUGGCUGCUUUAUGCAGUCUUGUUGAAUGGUGGAUAAACUCGGGGGACUGCUGACUAUAACCAUUUCUCAAAACAGAGGAAGGUUGCGGCAAUAACAGGUCUGUGAUGCCCUCAGAUGUCCCGGGCUGCACACGUGCUACAAUGAGUGGCGCAAUGUGCUAAUGUUUUAAGGGAUAAGCGUGCGGCCAGUAGAACGUCGGCAAUUGCCCUGGCGUCUUCUACCGCACGAUUAUCAGCCUUCCCUUAACAGGGCGGGCAACCUUUUCAAAAUACCGGUUUGAUGUUAAAGUAUAGAGUCGUUUUUUUUGGAUGGCGGUUUACGAACCAAUACCAUCCGCAACUGCUCGCGAGUUUGUGGUUCUGGUGACUCAU